rnacentral:lncRNA from 1 species
CAUAUUUUUUUUUAUUUUUUUUCCUUGUUGGUUAAACAGAGGAUAUGAAUGAACAUCCCACUAUCCAAAUUAAUUCGAUGGCUAUUAAUUAAUGCGGAUUCCGAUCAGCGCAAACUUAUUCUCUAUUUCACACUACUCGAUGAAUCGUACACGCUAACUAUUAAUUGUUACAGAGAAAAUACACUACACGUCUGCGGUCUCUAAUUUUCACAGCUUCUAUUAAUUGUUGCCG